rnacentral:lncRNA from 12 species
GAAUUGGACUGAACAAGAAGGUGUAGCCCUACAAUAUUCUCUGUCCUCUGGCAGUGAGGGGCUAAUCCUCUGAUGCCUUCAUCUCCUACCUAAAAAUGGGGUUGGCGAUAUCUUUCCUGACCCACCUCAGAAGUCCCACAUGAAGAGACGAGAAAGUGAAUUGCAUGAUUCUUUCUACCCUAAUCAAAACAAAGCCAAACUACAAGACACACAUCUGCCUUUGGUGAUGAAAUAUAUGGAAUACUCCGUGAUACCAUGCUGCGAGCUCUGUGAAUAUGGACCCAGAGUGUCCCUUGUUGUGAAGCAUGCCCUGGGAAGAGGCGCUAACCUUGCAUCGCUUUUAAGUGAAAUAUACAUUUUUCUUUUUAAAUGGAAGCUCACAAUGACAUUGUGUAGAAGGGAUCCCAGCACCUCCCACCCCACCCGCCUGGAUUAUCACCAUGUCUCCUUGAGCUGCACCUCUGGAAAAAAAUGUGAAGGAGGUAGCCCUCUGGAAUGAAUAAAUUCUGCAGCUGCCUGUAAUUAUUUAUUAAAAUAGAUUAAAGAAAUAGGCUAAAAAGGAAUCCGCCACCCAUGUUAGAGAUAGCAUAAUAAGAGGACACAGAAGAGAAAAUUAAUACCAGGGAGGAAAGAAUGUUAGAUAUGUGUGUUCAAGAAUACAGCCAUCUCCGCAUUGUUGGCUCACAUGCAGACAUACUCUCGGUUUUCAUUUGGCCGGGUGGGCUUUGCUAAUGAAAACGUGGGUUACUAAUACGGAUGUGUAUGUCUCUAAUUAACAUUAGAAUUGAGUGG